UACAGAGGUCUCAAGCGUUGUUCGGAUUCAUUGGGCGUAAAGGGUGCGUAGGUGGUGGGGUAAGUCGGAUGUGAAAUCCCCGGGCUCAACCUGGGAAUUGCAUUGGAGACUGCAAGGCUAGAAUCUGGCAGAGGGGGGUAGAAUUCCACGUGUAGCAGUGAAAUGCGUAGAUAUCUGGAGGAACACCGGUGGCGAAGGCGGGUCUCUGGGCCGAAACUGACGCUGAGGAGCGAAAGCGUGGGGAGCAAACAGG
rnacentral:rRNA from 1 species